CAAGUCGUCGAGCAGCGGCGCUCGUUCCGCCUGUCCGCUGGAGGCGCUCGAGUGCGAGAUGACGUCACACGCUCGAGAAACUGACCGCGCAGCGCAGAGCCAAGAUGGCGGCAGCAGACGGUUGAAACUUGAUGAAGGUAAUAGACGCAAAUUAUGUUUGAAUGAAUGAACUUACAUUUUAUCGCGGUUGUAUGGGUCUGUAAUGGUUUGUUUCUCAGUUGAGCGCGCUUCGGUUUAUCUGAAAUAUGCUGUGAAUCACUAGUAACGUUAUAAGUUUUGUCGGUUAGUGUGUUAGCAUAGAAGAUAACAACAACAACAACACAAACACGUUCAAACUCACUCAAAUACACACUGAAACACACGCGCACGUUCAUACAUAUUUAUAUACCCACUGAAAUUCACAGACACAUACAUGUAAAUACACAACGACACGCACCAAAACACAAUGUGUUGUAAAUACAAUUACAGUUGCAAGAAGUUUCUGAACCCUUCAAACAGCCCUGUCAGUCAUCACUCACUGUCCUCAAUGAAAGAGUGAAACGUGCAGUCGUUUGUGUUAUUAGUUUAGCCAAGAAGAUCUUAAAGGAAGAUCAGACCAUAGUUUGUGAGUAAUCAUUGCAGACAUCUAUACAUGUUCAAAGGGUUCACAAACUUAUGAAAAGUGAAAGUGAGGUGUUACAGGCAAACUUAUUCUUGCCUGUGUGUGUGUGUGUGUCUCUGUGUGUGUGUGUGUGUGUGUGUCUGUCUCUGUGUGUGUGUGUGUGUGUGUCUGUCUCUGUGUGUGUGUGUGUGUGUGUCUGUCUCUGUGUGUGUGUGUGUGUGUGUCUGUCUCUGUGUGUGUGUGUGUGUGUGUCUGUCUCUGUGUGUGUGUGUGUGUGUGUCUGUCUCUGUGUGUGUGUGUGUGUGUGUCUGUCUCUGUGUGUGUGUGUGUGUGUGUCUGUCUCUGUGUGUGUGUGUGUGUGUGUCUGUCUCUGUGUGUGUGUGUGUGUGUGUCUGUCUCUGUGUGUGUGUGUGUGUGUGUCUGUCUCUGUGUGUGUGUGUGUGUGUGUCUGUCUCUGUGUGUGUGUGUGUGUGUGUCUGUCUCUGUGUGUGUGUGUGUGUGUGUCUGUCUCUGUGUGUGUGUGUGUGUGUGUCUGUCUCUGUGUGUGUGUGUGUGUGUGUCUGUCUCUGUGUGUGUGUGUGUGUGUGUCUGUCUCUGUGUGUGUGUGUGUGUGUGUCUGUCUCUGUGUGUGUGUGUGUGUGUGUCUGUCUCUGUGUGUGUGUGUGUGUGUGUCUGUCUCUGUGUGUGUGUGUGUGUGUGUCUGUCUCUGUGUGUGUGUGUGUGUGUGUCUGUCUCUGUGUGUGUGUGUGUGUGUGUCUGUCUCUGUGUGUGUGUGUGUGUGUGUCUGUCUCUGUGUGUGUGUGUGUGUGUGUCUGUCUCUGUGUGUGUGUGUGUGUGUGUCUGUCUCUGUGUGUGUGUGUGUGUGUGUCUGUCUCUGUGUGUGUGUGUGUGUGUGUCUGUCUCUGUGUGUGUGUGUGUGUGUGUCUGUCUCUGUGUGUGUGUGUGUGUGUGUCUGUCUCUGUGUGUGUGUGUGUGUGUGUCUGUCUCUGUGUGUGUGUGUGUGUGUGUCUGUCUCUGUGUGUGUGUGUGUGUGUGUCUGUCUCUGUGUGUGUGUGUGUGUGUGUCUGUCUCUGUGUGUGUGUGUGUGUGUGUCUGUCUCUGUGUGUGUGUGUGUGUGUGUCUGUCUCUGUGUGUGUGUGUGUGUGUGUCUGUCUCUGUGUGUGUGUGUGUGUGUGUCUGUCUCUGUGUGUGUGUGUGUGUGUGUCUGUCUCUGUGUGUGUGUGUGUGUGUGUCUGUCUCUGUGUGUGUGUGUGUGUGUGUCUGUCUCUGUGUGUGUGUGUGUGUGUGUCUGUCUCUGUGUGUGUGUGUGUGUGUGUCUGUCUCUGUGUGUGUGUGUGUGUGUGUCUGUCUCUGUGUGUGUGUGUGUGUGUGUCUGUCUCUGUGUGUGUGUGUGUGUGUGUCUGUCUCUGUGUGUGUGUGUGUGUGUGUCUGUCUCUGUGUGUGUGUGUGUGUGUGUCUGUCUCUGUGUGUGUGUGUGUGUGUGUCUGUCUCUGUGUGUGUGUGUGUGUGUGUCUGUCUCUGUGUGUGUGUGUGUGUGUGUCUGUCUCUGUGUGUGUGUGUGUGUGUGUCUGUCUCUGUGUGUGUGUGUGUGUGUGUCUGUCUCUGUGUGUGUGUGUGUGUGUGUCUGUCUCUGUGUGUGUGUGUGUGUGUGUCUGUCUCUGUGUGUGUGUGUGUGUGUGUCUGUCUCUGUGUGUGUGUGUGUGUGUGUCUGUCUCUGUGUGUGUGUGUGUGUGUGUCUGUCUCUGUGUGUGUGUGUGUGUGUGUCUGUCUCUGUGUGUGUGUGUGUGUGUGUCUGUCUCUGUGUGUGUGUGUGUGUGUGUCUGUCUCUGUGUGUGUGUGUGUGUGUGUCUGUCUCUGUGUGUGUGUGUGUGUGUGUCUGUCUCUGUGUGUGUGUGUGUGUGUGUCUGUCUCUGUGUGUGUGUGUGUGUGUGUCUGUCUCUGUGUGUGUGUGUGUGUGUGUCUGUCUCUGUGUGUGUGUGUGUGUGUGUCUGUCUCUGUGUGUGUGUGUGUGUGUGUCUGUCUCUGUGUGUGUGUGUGUGUGUGUCUGUCUCUGUGUGUGUGUGUGUGUGUGUCUGUCUCUGUGUGUGUGUGUGUGUGUGUCUGUCUCUGUGUGUGUGUGUGUGUGUGUCUGUCUCUGUGUGUGUGUGUGUGUGUGUCUGUCUCUGUGUGUGUGUGUGUGUGUGUCUGUCUCUGUGUGUGUGUGUGUGUGUGUCUGUCUCUGUGUGUGUGUGUGUGUGUGUCUGUCUCUGUGUGUGUGUGUGUGUGUGUCUGUCUCUGUGUGUGUGUGUGUGUGUGUCUGUCUCUGUGUGUGUGUGUGUGUGUGUCUGUCUCUGUGUGUGUGUGUGUGUGUGUCUGUCUCUGUGUGUGUGUGUGUGUGUGUCUGUCUCUGUGUGUGUGUGUGUGUGUGUCUGUCUCUGUGUGUGUGUGUGUGUGUGUCUGUCUCUGUGUGUGUGUGUGUGUGUGUCUGUCUCUGUGUGUGUGUGUGUGUGUGUCUGUCUCUGUGUGUGUGUGUGUGUGUGUCUGUCUCUGUGUGUGUGUGUGUGUGUGUCUGUCUCUGUGUGUGUGUGUGUGUGUGUCUGUCUCUGUGUGUGUGUGUGUGUGUGUCUGUCUCUGUGUGUGUGUGUGUGUGUGUCUGUCUCUGUGUGUGUGUGUGUGUGUGUCUGUCUCUGUGUGUGUGUGUGUGUGUGUCUGUCUCUGUGUGUGUGUGUGUGUGUGUCUGUCUCUGUGUGUGUGUGUGUGUGUGUCUGUCUCUGUGUGUGUGUGUGUGUGUGUCUGUCUCUGUGUGUGUGUGUGUGUGUGUCUGUCUCUGUGUGUGUGUGUGUGUGUGUCUGUCUCUGUGUGUGUGUGUGUGUGUGUCUGUCUCUGUGUGUGUGUGUGUGUGUGUCUGUCUCUGUGUGUGUGUGUGUGUGUGUCUGUCUCUGUGUGUGUGUGUGUGUGUGUCUGUCUCUGUGUGUGUGUGUGUGUGUGUCUGUCUCUGUGUGUGUGUGUGUGUGUGUCUGUCUCUGUGUGUGUGUGUGUGUGUGUCUGUCUCUGUGUGUGUGUGUGUGUGUGUCUGUCUCUGUGUGUGUGUGUGUGUGUGUCUGUCUCUGUGUGUGUGUGUGUGUGUGUGUCUGUCUGUGUGUGUGUGUGUGUCUCUGUGUGUGUGUGUGUGUGUGUGUGUUUCAGGGGAUGGUGACGGUCUCCGGCUCUCUGUCGGUUCUGCUGGACUCGGUGUUGUGUGCUCUGGGUCCGCUGGCCUGUCUCAGAACUCAACGGCUGUCCACAUCAUGUGCUGUCAAACACUCUGGACAACAUCGCAUACGUGA
rnacentral:lncRNA from 1 species